UAACUUAAAGGGAUUGACGGAAGGGCACCACCAGGGGUGGAGCCUGCGGCUUAAUUUGACUCAACACGGGGAAACUCACCAGGUCCAGACACGAUGAGGAUUGACAGAUUGAGAGCUCUUUCUUGAUUUCGUGGGUGGUGGUGCAUGGCCGUUCUUAGUUGGUGGAGUGAUUUGUCUGCUUAAUUGCGAUAACGAACGAGACCUUAACCUGCUAAAUAGCCCGCAUUGCUUUGGCAGUGCGCCGGCUUCUUAGAGGGACUAUCGGCUCAAGCCGAUGGAAGUUUGAGGCAAUAACAGGUCUGUGAUGCAACGAC
rnacentral:rRNA from 1 species